rnacentral:misc_RNA from 1 species
AACGCACAUUGCGCCCACCAGUAUUCUGGUGGGCAUGCCUGUCUGAGCGUCAUUUCAACCCUCACACUCCUAGGGUGUGGUGUUGGGGAUCGGCCAAAGCCCGCAAGGGACGGCCGGCCCCUAAAUCUAGUGGCGGACCCGUUGUGGCCUCCUCUGCGAAGUAGUAAUAUUCCGCAUUAGAGAAGCAGCGAGCCCCUGCCGUAAAACCCCCAACUUUCUAAGGUUGACCUCAGAUCAGGUAGGAAUACCCGCUGAACUUAA